rnacentral:tRNA from 1 species
AAAACAGAGGUUUAUACUUUCGAUUUCGGCUCGAAAACAGGCUAUCAGCCCUGUUUUA